AUUGAACGCUGGCGGCAGGCCUAACACAUGCAAGUCGAGCGGAUGAAGGGAGCUUGCUCCUGGAUUCAGCGGCGGACGGGUGAGUAAUGCCUAGGAAUCUGCCUGGUAGUGGGGGAUAACGUCCGGAAACGGGCGCUAAUACCGCAUACGUCCUGAGGGAGAAAGUGGGGGAUCUUCGGACCUCACGCUACCAGAUGAGCCUAGGUCGGAUUAGCUAGUUGGUGGGGUAAAGGCCUACCAAGGCGACGAUCCGUAACUGGUCUGAGAGGAUGAUCAGUCACACUGGAACUGAGACACGGUCCAGACUCCUACGGGAGACAGCAGUGGGGAAUAUUGGACAAUGGGCGAAAGCCUGAUCCAGCCAUGCCGCGUGUGUGAAGAAGGUCUUCGGAUUGUAAAGCACUUUAAGUUGGGAGGAAGGGCAGUAAGUUAAUACCUUGCUGUUUUGACGUUACCAACAGAAUAAGCACCGGCUAACUUCGUG
rnacentral:rRNA from 1 species